GUACCGGGAAAAUCUUAUCUGAUUCAGGAUCAUCGGUUACACUCCCCUGUCACCAGUGAUCCUUUUUGCUGACAUCCUGAAAAAGUAUUGUGUAGUCCCUGUGGCAAGAACAUUAAAGAUAAAGGGGAAACUAUAAACAGAAGAAAUUAUCAACAAAAUAAGAUUUACAGAGGUCAACAAAGCCUAAAUGGUCAAACAUCUCGAUUUUCAUGGUCAUCAUUCACAGAUCAAUACUGAAUGGAAAACUUAAAGCUGAUCUUUUCCUCCAUAGUGCAACUUUUUUAUUAAUUUGAAAUGGAACGUGUUUUUUCCUACAUUUAUUUGAAAGAGGAAAUUUCAACAUGAUGACUUUAAACAAAAAGGAGUCAUAUCAUCACGAUCAUUGAUGCAAAAGAACUUGAUCAUAUAAAUACAACAAUGUAAUUAUCAAUUGAAAGAUGGAACGAAUGAACAAAAUAUUAGAAUGUUGUUGUCCAAAUAAACAUGCUUUAUCUUCUCAUUUGAAUCUCUCCAUUCAAUAAAGAUGUACGGAGGAAGAUCUUUGAAGAACAGAUUGAAAAAAUGUUUUGUCUAAGAAUUGCAGGAAUAUUCUAUGAAUGAAAUUAUUUAUUGACUUCACUCUUAUAUAGUGGACUGAAUAAUUGUACAUAGCAAGUUGUGAAUAAAGAAAACAAAAACUUUAACAAAAAGUGUUUAUAUUAUAAAUUUGCAAAUAUAAGCAUACUA